GACGAACGCUGGCGGCGUGCUUAACACAUGCAAGUCGAACGGAAAGGCCCUGCUUGCAGGGUGCUCGAGUGGCGAACGGGUGAGUAACACGUGGGUGAUCUGCCCCUUACUUUGGGAUAAGCCUGGGAAACUGGGUCUAAUACUGGAUAGGACCAUGCUGUAGGUGGUGUGGUGGAAAGAUUAGUUUCGGUAAGGGAUGAGCUCGCGGCCUAUCAGCUUGUUGGUGGGGUAAUGGCCUACCAAGGCGUCGACGGGUAGCCGGCCUGAGAGGGUGGACGGCCACAUUGGGACUGAGAUACGGCCCAGACUCCUACGGGAGGCAGCAGUGGGGAAUAUUGCACAAUGGGCGCAAGCCUGAUGCAGCGACGCCGCGUGGAGGAUGACGGCCUUCGGGUUGUAAACUCCUUGCAGCCAUGACGAAGCCCUUGUGGUGACGGUAGUGGUAGAAGAAGCACCGGCUAACUACGUG
rnacentral:rRNA from 1 species